AUGUCAUCAAAUGGCGUUUGUAAAACAACGUUGACUUAAAAAAAUGAAACAUGCAUCAUGACAUAAAUAGUGAGUGGGGUGGGGUGGUUGGAUAAGGAACUCUUUGCGUUUAAAAUUCAACCACCAUUCUACCAACCCACAAAGCAAUAACAAACUCACCUGAACAGUGGUUGACAGUUACAGCCCAUUUACCCUUUGAUUUGGGCCAAGUUUUAUCAAUAACGAGUCAAACGGGUCAUAAGUUUUAUCAAUAACGAGUCAAACGGGUCAUAAGUUUUAUCAAUAACGAGUCAAACGGGUCAUAUUUAUAUCUUCGUAAGAGCUAAAACGGGUCAAACGUAUCAAAUGGGGUGAAAGUCGCUCAAAGGGUUACUUAAACAUUUUCGACCUCUUUAGUCUUUAAGUCGUUCUAUCCAGGUCAAAUCACUCUCCUUUUGACCCGCGUU
rnacentral:lncRNA from 1 species